rnacentral:rRNA from 1 species
UACGGAGGGUGCAAGCAUUGAUCGGAAUUACUGGGCGUAAAGGGCGCGUAGGCGGUCCGAAAAGUCAGAUGUGAAAUUCCGGGGCUCAACCCCGGAGCUGCAUUUGAAACUAUCGGACUUGAGGAUGGUAAGGGAAAACGGAAUUCCACGUGUAGCGGUGAAAUGCGUAGAUAUGUGGAAGAACACCGGUGGUGAAGACGGUUUUCUGUGCCAAACCUGACGCUGAGGCGCGAAAGCUAGGGGAGCAAACAGG